rnacentral:sRNA from 1 species
UCUUUUACUAUUUUUUUAGAAGUUUCAUUAAAUAUUCCAUAAGGAUAAGCAAA